rnacentral:rRNA from 1 species
AACGAACGCUGGCGGCAUGCCUAAUACAUGCAAGUCGAACGAUCACUUCGGUGAUAGUGGCGCACGGGUGCGUAACGCGUGGGAAUCUGCCCUUGGGUUCGGAAUAACAGCGGGAAACUGCUGCUAAUACCGGAUGAUGACGUAAGUCCAAAGAUUUAUCGCCCAAGGAUGAGCCCGCGUAGGAUUAGCUAGUUGGUGGGGUAAAGGCCUACCAAGGCGACGAUCCUUAGCUGGUCUGAGAGGAUGAGCAGCCACACUGGGACUGAGACACGGCCCAGACUCCUACGGGAGGCAGCAGUAGGGAAUAUUGGACAAUGGGGGCAACCCUGAUCCAGCAAUGCCGCGUGAGUGAUGAAGGCCUUAGGGUUGUAAAGCUCUUUUACCAGAGAUGAUAAUGACAGUAUCUGGGGAAUAAGCCCCGGCUAACUCCGUGCCAGCAGCCGCGGUAAUAC